rnacentral:miRNA from 2 species
CGAGAACAGUAGAUGUCAUUGA